UACGUAGGGGGCUAGCGUUGUCCGGAAUCAUGGGCGUAAAGCGCGUGUAGGCGGUUCGGUAAGUCCGCUGUGAAAGUCGGGGGCUCAACCCUCGGAUGCCGGUGGAUACUGCCGAGCUUGAGUACGGAAGAGGCGAGUGGAAUUCCUGGUGUAGCGGUGAAAUGCGCAGAUAUCAGGAGGAACACCAAUUGCGAAGGCAGCUCGCUGGGACGUUACUGACGCUGAGACGCGAAAGCGUGGGGAGCAAACAGG
rnacentral:rRNA from 1 species